UAUUAAUAGUUUGUUCUAAUUAUUCAGUUUUUAGCCAUAUAACUUUUUUGAGCUUUGUGAUGACUUAUUUAAUUGGUGUUGAUAAAUCGGGAAGUAUACAAAAUACCCCAUAUUAAAAGAGCAUUCCCGCCUAAACAUACAAAUAAUCUGUUUUAUCUUGAAAAUUUUAUAAAAUUUAUUGUUUUUGUGCCACCCUAUAGAAAUAUCCCGUUAUAUACCUGUUCAAUGCCAUUGUUGACUUCCAGGUUUCCAGGAGUAACGGAGAAAGGUUGACAAGGCACGCAAUGACACUCAUCCGUCCGCGUUCCGUUAACCUCGAUUAUUUUACAAGUUUCUUUGAUCGAUCUCUUAUACACUAAUCCCGAAUAUGAGUAAAAAAUUGUAAUUAACUUAAUUUAACAAGGAUUAUUAUUUGUACGUAUACAAUAAACAUGCCCACUAAAAGUUUUCUUGUAAAAGUGGAGCUGAUUAUCCAGAAAAUCAGUUGCCCGGGAGUAUGGCUAUGUUCGAAUGGAAAAGUCUCCUUGCAAUUAAGCAUGCUAGACUCAACUAUACAAACGGAAAUCUACAAGCCUUACUUUCCCAUUACUUUUGAAGAAAAAUUCAUUUUUUAUAAAACCUUUGUCAAAGAAAGAAGAUUAAAUGAACUACAACACAGCCUUGGCAAAGAAUGGCUCUGUGCUGAAUUAAUUCAGUGGAAGAGCUGCGACGAAGGAAUCAUUUUAGCAUGUUUUAAAACAACCCUUGACGACCUGCUUUAUCCAAGCGCUUUCAAAAGUGCCAAUAUGCCCGGAACCGAUGUGGAUUUGCUAUUAGAACCGACAAAAUUAUUUCCAGGAACACUAUCACCCAAACUAGAAUUGCGCACUAAAACAACCAUAGAAGAAGUUAUCUCAGAAGUUAAACAGCGCUGUACCAACAAAAUGCUUCACAAUAAUCCUGCCAAAUCCUCUUGCGUUACUCAAAAUUUGCCAAAAAAACUUCAUCCAAGGAAGGUCUGCCACACCACGUCUUACAGCAGAGCCCAGCAGAGAUGUAAGAAUACGAAGAAAGACUCCAGGCCAAUUUUCAAAUAUAAGAAGGCCGAGGACGAUCUUAUUUUGAGAACUAAUCCCGAAAAAGUCUUAAAAGAUGACAUAGUUGUUGCAUUAAAUAAAUAUGAUUUGCAGAUGGCAGGAUAUGAAGCCAUCCCAAAAGCCAAUAAUAACAUAUGCAAAGACUGCAUCCCCUAUUGCUAUUGCAGUGAUUCCCUUUGCGCACCAGAAUCUACCAGUGUUACAAGUAUCAUCAAAAGCAUCAAAACCAAUAAUAGUAGUAACAGUGUGCAGCCACUCGAUCGUUACUGCUCCUCCGAAAUACACCAUGAAUCUGAAACGUGUUCCCUCUGUACCAAAUAUGAGUCAACCUUUUUUUCUUUGCCAAAGAAGACAAUUAAGUCCAAACAGUUUCUAUCUCGACCAGCAAAUACCUCGGACAGCUUAACUUGGUGCUCAGAUUGUAAGCAGCAUUUUAAGAAAAAGGCAGCCAACUGAAAAAAUCGCCAUCAAAACAUGUUUGUUUCCCUGCCUACAGCAAUUUUAGGAGGACGUACAACCAGAAUAUAUCAAGAUAGUAUACAAAUACCCAAGUGGACAUUGUGUAUAAAACCAAUAAUUUACAUAAGCUUUAUUGAUUUGGUAAUUCCAUUCGACCAAUAAAGAAGGUGUGUUUCUGUGUGGAAAGAACCAAUAAUUCUAUGAAUUUGGCUCAAAAGCUACAUGAAACUUUACGCAAUGGUUUGCAAAAUGGUGCUGCCUGUAUGGAGACUUGC
rnacentral:misc_RNA from 1 species